AUGUCUCUUGUAGAGGUUCCAGUAGCAGAUGGAGAGAAGAAGGAAAGAGUCGUAAUCGGAGCUCCUUUCACGUAGAUUGUAUCAAACUUUGUGGAAUUCUCCGUGGAUGCCACUGAUGAUGUGAUCCAGACAUAUGCUCGUGUCUACAUGUGGUAUGUUAUCUCCGGGACUUUGUUUGAUGACACAACUGGCAAGAACACUCAAUGGAUGAGGCUUAAGGCGUUGACCGUCUUCGACAACCAAUGGAGUUGGGGUUUGACGGCACUGGCCUACUUGUACUGA
rnacentral:rRNA from 1 species